AUGCCAUCUGCUCUGCCGGCCGGGGUCGCAGUCACCCUCCUCCUCCUCUUCCUCCUCCUUCAGAGUAGGAAAAAAAAUGACUGUCCCCUCUUUUCCACAUUCAGCACAGCUGGCCGCAGCACCGUACGCUGGAUUAAAGGCAGCAGUAAAACACGGUCCAAGAUGAGAGGAAAGGUAGAGCCUGAGGAGGACUUGCAGUCAACCAAACCCUGGUGAUCCCUCGAGCUACCUUUUUAGACCUGGAUAAAGAGCCACUGCUCAGCCCCGUUUCCAAUUUUGCCCAGUGGCCACUCAUGGUAUUGCAGGUAAAAAAUCCAGUAAGACUGAUAGUCCACCAUUAUAACACAGACAUUUGUAAAACUACUGACAGGACACCUCGAUCCCAAAACUUGGAAACACAUACUGUACAUAUUUUACCAAGGUGCAAAAGCCAUAUUUCAACAAGCAGCCCUUCUUAGCAAAUACACAUUGCUUCCCAGAUUUGCUCAGAUAUGAUGCUCUCAUUUAAAGUUUGCAUUCUUAGAAAUUCUCCACAUUGAACACAACAAAGCCAAAAUAUGUGUCAUUCCAUCCCACAGAAAUCCCCAAAACAGUUUUGUACCGCUUUGUUUGCUUUCACAUCCAGCUUUGUGUCAAAAUGCUCCCAACAGGAGGAUGAAUGAAUCAUUGAUGUGUUAAUCACAGCAGAACGGAAUAAGACCAGUGGAAACAUCGAAGCGAGACGCACAGGUGGGAACAUACACCUGCCAAGUAAGUCGUCUGAUUCAUGUUCGCGGAAGAAUAAACUGAGUUUUACAUAUGUACAGUCCAGGCGGUGACACUUAUGACUCCCAGGAAGAAGAUUCUGCAUGUUGGGCGUCAUACAAACCCCUAUUUUUAUGCCAGCUAUUUCAAAAUGGAAAUACAACAAACGGAUUAUAUAAAAAUGACGUAAUUCACACCAUUUAUUUGUUCCCCUGAGGUAAAGAAACUCCCUCGCCCAAUCCUUUCCUCUCUUUCUCUCUCUCUCUCCCUGACACACACACACAGACACACACACAUACACACACAGGUCUGCGGGUCACGGAGCAGCGAGACAGCUGAGCCAUUUAUCAGGAUCCCUGGGGAAACAAUUACACCCCACCAGGCAGCAGAGCCAGGACAGGGGCUGGGAAUUAAUGAUGGGCUUAUGACUCAAGUUGAGGCAAAACUUGCAGCAGGAGGGAUGGUGUCGCUGACCAACAACCCCUCCCCGCUGCUGCUCACUGACACGGCUGUUAAUCACUUCAUUUCAGUCUCCUGUGAAACAAUCAGCAUGGUAUUCCAGUAACAAAUGUAUUAAAG
rnacentral:lncRNA from 1 species